CCUACGGGCGGCAGCAGUAGGGAAUCUUCCACAAUGAGCGAAAGCUUGAUGGAGCGACACAGCGUGCAUGAAGAAGGUUUUCGGCUCGUAAAGUGCUGUUGUAAGGGAAGAAAGAUAGAGGUAGGAACUGACUUUUAUUUGACGGUACUUACUUAGAAAGUCACGGCUAACUACGUGCCAGCAGCCGCGGUAAUACGUAGGUGGCAAGCGUUAUCCGGAUUUAUUGGGCGUAAAGCGAGUGCAGGCGGUUCAAUAAGUCUGAUGUGAAAGCCUUGGGCUUAACCGGAGAAUUGCAUCAGAAACUGUUGAACUUGAGUGCAGAAGAGGAGAGGGGAAUUCCAUGUGUAGCGGUGGAAUGCGUAGAUAUAUGGAAGAACACCAGUGGCGAAGGCGGCUCUCUGGUUUGCAACUGACGCUGAGGCACGAAGGCCAGGGGAGCGAAAGGGAUUAGAUACCCGUGUAGUC
rnacentral:rRNA from 1 species